CAGAGAGGUCACACCCGUUCCCAUACCGAACACGGAAGUUAAGCUCUCUAGCGCCGAUGGUAGUUGGGACCUUGUCCCUGUGAGAGUAGGACGUUGCCAGGCA
rnacentral:rRNA from 2 species